UAAACAUUACUGCAUUAUAAUGAUAGUAUUUUUUUUUCACUUUCUGAGGCUCUAGGGAUCCCUUGUCUCUGCCUUCUGUGUGCUGGGAUUGCAGGUGUGAGCUGGGAUUGCAGGUGUAAACUGGGAUUACAGUUCCAUUACUGAGAGGAGUCAGCACAGGAACCGAAGGCAGAAACAACCUGGAGGCAUGGACUGAGGCAGAGGCCAUGGAGAAAUGUCACUAACUGGCUUGCUCCCCAAGGCUUGCUCAACCUCCUUUCCUAUAGACCCCAAAACGACCUUGCCCGGGGUUGGCCCCACCCACAAUAGGCUGGGAUGCCCAAAAUCAACCAUUAACCAAGAAAAUAUCCCACAGACUUGUCUGCUGGCCAGUCUGAGGGAAGGCAUUUUCUCAACUGAGAUUCUUUCUUCCAAGAUAACAUAUGAAGUCAAGCUGGAACUGAGCUGAAAACUUCGUUGUCUAGCUUUUGUAUCACUGGAAGGGCCAACAAUGGAAGCGACUGGGAGAAACUCAGCAAUGAGUCUUGCAGCUGUAAUAUUGACCUGCCGGGAAAGUUGUGCUCUCUGGUGCAAUAGGGGCGUGAACGUUAUUGUGAUAACCAACUGCUUUUGGAUUUGAGGACUGUUCCACAGGAGGAAAUUCAUGUCUAGUACUGCAAACCUGGUCAAAAGCCCAGGACGUAAGAGGUCAUAGGCCCUAGAGGGAAUCCACUACUGUUAUCUUACUAAAGGGAAAUGUUGUCAAGCUGCCUUCUACAUAUUUAUGUUCAUGCAAUAGUACUAAUGCACUGCCCUCAGCUUUGGCCAGAGAAACUUGUCUCUCCAGUGGGCAGCAGUUAAUGCAGGGACUCAUAGCUGUUCAGUGGGCAGAGAAUAAGUGAGAACUGAGUGCUCAUCCUGCAUGGGACAUCUGUAUCUACAUCAUCCCCCCAAAGAGGGAACACUGCAGAAAGGGUCGUGGAGAGGAUCUAAGAGUGAGAGAGGGCACAGUGUUCUGCGACGCUGUAUUCUGGACGUGGCCACCACGCUCACAAAUUCACCGCAGCUGUGGAGCAAAAGAUCAAACCAAAGGAAUCAGUCAGCACCCCAGCAGGCAGCACCAACGGGAUUCAGUGGCUAAAGGGGGGCAGGGGAAGGUCAUGAAGGGGGUAAGAAGGUGUUUCAAGGCCAGCUGGAGGGGAGUGGAAGCAGGGAGCUGAGCGCAGCUGUAAUCCAGAUACAUUGUUUACAUGAAUGCAAUUGUCGACAAAAAAAAAAAAAAUCUAUUUAAAAAAAAGAAAAACUAUGAAUUAAA